GGGGAGCGGCAGACGGGUGAGUAACGCGUGGGAACGUACCUUUUGCUACGGAAUAACUCAGGGAAACUUGUGCUAAUACCGUAUGUGCCCUUCGGGGGAAAGAUUUAUCGGCAAAGGAUCGGCCCGCGUUGGAUUAGCUAGUUGGUGAGGUAAAGGCUCACCAAGGCGACGAUCCAUAGCUGGUCUGAGAGGAUGAUCAGCCACACUGGGACUGAGACACGGCCCAGACUCCUACGGGAGGCAGCAGUGGGGAAUAUUGGACAAUGGGCGCAAGCCUGAUCCAGCCAUGCCGCGUGAGUGAUGAAGGCCCUAGGGUUGUAAAGCUCUUUCACCGGUGAAGAUAAUGACGGUAACCGGAGAAGAAGCCCCGGCUAACUUCGUGCCAGCAGCCGCGGUAAUACGAAGGGGGCUAGCGUUGUUCGGAUUUACUGGGCGUAAAGCGCACGUAGGCGGACUUUUAAGUCAGGGGUGAAAUCCCGGGGCUCAACCCCGGAACUGCCUUUGAUACUGGAAGUCUUGAGUAUGGUAGAGGUGAGUGGAAUUCCGAGUGUAGAGGUGAAAUUCGUAGAUAUUCGGAGGAACACCAGUGGCGAA
rnacentral:rRNA from 1 species